UUAUUUUUAAGUUUGCACUUUGAUUUGUGUAUUAUGGGCCAUUAUUCUUAUCUAGGAUGAGAUGGAAAGAGCUGGCGAAUUGUUCAUUUGAACAUUCAGUUGAGAGAAAGAGACAUAAAGCUGUGGAAGAAGAUAAUUUUUUUUUUCCAUAAAACAACACCUACGAGUCUAAUAUUUUUUGUCAGGUUAACAUAAUCAAGAAUUGCAAACAGUGGAGCUAGCAUGGAGAAAAAGAAGAGGCAUUUUUGGUGGAUGUGAGAUCAAUUACUAGCAAGGGAGUGCUCGACUUUUGGAAAGAUGGAUCCAUAGAGCUUUAUUGCAUAAUUUAUUCUGGAAGUUAAAGGGAAUUAGCUCGAAAUAGCAGUGAUCUUAACAUAGGUGUACGAUGGAUUCUGUCUUUUAUGAUUUAAUUAGUUUUAAGAUUUGUCUUUUUGAUUUAGUUAGUAAUGGAGAGAUGAUUUAAUUUGAUGCAAUCAAAAUUGUAAGGA